rnacentral:rRNA from 1 species
UACGGAGGGGGCAAGCGUUAUUCGGAAUUAUUGGGCGUAAAGGGCGCGUAGGCGGCUAGAUGUGUCAAAGGUGAAAUCCCUCGGCUCAACUGAGGAACUGCCUUUGAAACUGUCUGGCUUGAGGCUGGGAGAGGGUAGCGGAAUUCCCAGUGUAGCGGUGAAAUGCGUAGAUAUGCGGAGGAACACCGAUGGCGAAGGCAAUCCCCUGGGCCUGCACUGACGCUCAUGCACGAAAGCGUGGGGAGCAAACAGG